rnacentral:rRNA from 1 species
AUGGCCAUCCCAAAAGCUUUGAUCCUUGGCAUCCUCGGAUGUGUCUGCUUCUGCAGUUCGGUCCUAGAAGCUCGUGAGCUCAGCGAUGACUUGUCGAUGGUGGCAAGGCACGAGAGCUGGAUGGUGGAGUACGGCCGUGUGUACAAGGACGAUGCUGAGAAGGCGCAACGAUUCGGGGUGUUCAAGGCCAAUGUCGGGUUCAUCGAGUCGUUUAAUGCCAAGAACCUCAAGUUCUAUUUGGGCGUCAAUCAGUUCGCCGACCUAACGAACGAGGAGUUCAAGGCGACGAAGGCUAACAAGGGGUACAAACCGAGCAUGGAGAGGAUGCCUACCGGAUUCAGGUAUGAGAAUGUAAGUUUCGAUGCACUUCCGGCAACCGUAGACUGGAGAACGAAAGGAGCAGUCACCCCCAUCAAGGAUCAGGGCCAAUGUGAGGGCGUCGUUAAGCUCAAAACCGGCAAGCUUAUCUCCUUGUCUGAGCAAGAACUAGUGGAUUGUGAUGUCCAUGGUGAAGACCAAGGUUGCGAAGGUGGGCUUAUGGAUGAUGCCUUCAAGUUCAUAAUCAAGAAUGGCGGUCUCACAACCGAGUCAAACUACCCAUAUACCGCGGCAGAUGACAAGUGCAAGAGUGGAACCAACGGUGCCGCAACCAUCAAAAUCUAUGAGGAUGUUCCAGCCAACAACGAGGGAGCUCUCAUGCAAGCCGUCGCAAGCCAACCCGUCUCGGUGGCUGUAGAUGGAGGAGAUAUGACCUUCCAAUUUUACAAAGGUGGAGUGAUGACAGGCUCAUGUGGCACAGACCUGGACCAUGGUAUUGCGGCUAUUGGUUAUGGCAAGACCAGCGAUGGCACAAAAUAUUGGUUGCUGAAGAAUUCAUGGGGAACAACAUGGGGCGAGAACGGAUAUUUAAGAAUGGAGAAGGACAUUCCCGACAAGAAAGGCAUGUGUGGCCUUGCGAUGGAGCCUUCUUACCCCACUGCAUAG